UACAGAGGUGGCAAGCGUUGUUCGGAAUUACUGGGCGUAAAGGGCUCGUAGGCGGCCAACUAAGUCAGACGUGAAAUCCCUCAGCUUAACUGGGGAACUGCGUCUGAUACUGGAUGGCUUGGAUUCGGGAGAGGAAUGCGGAAUUCCAGGUGUAGCGGUGAAAUGCGUAGAUAUCUGGAGGAACACCGGUGGCGAAGGCGGCAUUCUGGACAAUUGCUGACGCUCAGGCACGAAAGCGUGGGGAGCAAAAGGG
rnacentral:rRNA from 1 species